AAAGUCGUAACAAGGUUUCCGUAGGUGAACCUGCGGAAGGAUCAUUAUUGAAUGAACUUGGUGUGGUUGUUGCUGGCCCUUUCGGGGGCAUGUGCACACCCGCCAUCCUCAUCUCUCCACCUGUGCACCUCUUGUAGACUUGGAUUGACUUUCCGAGGCAACUCGGUCGGGAGGAUUGCUGGCACUAGCUGGCUUUCUUUGCAUUUCCAGGUCUACGUUUUUCAUAUACCCCAUUGUAUGUAACAGAAUGUAAUAUUAGGCCCUUGUGCCUAUAAACCUUAUACAACUUUCAGCAACGGAUCUCUUGGCUCUC
rnacentral:misc_RNA from 1 species